rnacentral:rRNA from 1 species
UGGCGGGAACUCUAAGGAGACUGCCGGUGAUAAACCGGAGGAAGGUGGGGACGACGUCAAGUCUUCAUGGCCCUUACGGGAUGGGCUACACACGUGCUACAGUGGCGUAUACAGAGUGCUGCAAUACCGCGAGGUGGAGCGAAUCACACAAAGUACGUCGUAGUCCGGAUCGGAGUCUGCAACUCGACUCCGUGAAGUCGGAAUCGCUAGUAAUCGUAGAUCAGAAUGCUACGGUGAAUACGUUCCCGGGCCUUGUACACACCGCCCGUCACACCAUGGGAGUGGGAUGCAAGAAGAAGUGGCUAGUUUAACCUUUCGAGGAGGACGGUCACCACUUUGUGUUUAUGACUGGGGUGAAGUCGUAACAAGGU